rnacentral:lncRNA from 10 species
CAAUUCCUGCCAGGUAUUAUUUUAAUAGUCUCCCCUCUAAUGCCAGGCUCCUUCUUCACCUACUCUCUUACCCGCAGUUCUAAUAUGAGAUUCCCCAUUCCAACAGGAUUAGACCAGAUGAAUAGAUGAUCUCUAAGGGCCCUUUCAGCUCUAAGACUGUUGAGAUUUGCGCGCACAUUAGGUAAAGAUGCCCCCUUCUUCUGAACAGUGAUGCCCACCAUCAAUGUUUAAUUAAUACUGAGGAUGCCACAAAUCUAACUCACUCUGCUUUUAAUGGCAGGUUGACUGUGGGCUUAGUUUAUCAAGCCUGUCCAAAUGACUAACUGGAUGGAUAUUAUGC